rnacentral:rRNA from 2 species
AACGUAGGAGCCAAGCGUUAUCCGAAUUCACUGGGCGUAAAGCGCGUGCAGGCGGCUGGGUAAGUUGGAUGUGAAAUCUCCUGGCUCAACUGGGAGAGGCCGUUCAAUACUACCUGGCUUGAGGGCGACAGAGGGAGGUGGAAUUCCGGGUGUAGUGGUGAAAUGCGUAGAUAUCCGGAGGAACACCAGAGGCGAAGGCGACCUCCUGGGUCGUACCUGACGCUGAGAUGCGAAAGCUAGGGGAGCAAACGGG